CUCCGGAUGUUUCUAGGUGAGAUGGCCAGCUCGAGACUCUGCAGCCAUUUCCACACUUCCCGCGGAAGUCUGCUCCUCUUCUUCGGCGAAGUCUCGGUGCGCUGCUGCCACCUGGCGAUCAUUUACACUCACUACACUGCUCUCUAAACUUCUGGAGGAGAUCCUCUCUGAUUGGAGAAACCAAGGGGGCGGUGUUUCCAAAAUGGCAGAGUCUUCAAGAUGGCGCAGUAGCAGCUCGGCUAGCUGUUAGCUUUUCACUCUGACCUUUUUGUUUAAUUAUUUAGUUAUUUUGAGGCUAAUCCACACACAGCCAUAAAUCUGGAAAUAUAACACUUGUUCUGUUUACACCUGAGAACUGAGCUGGUUCUGUGUUAAUGCUCUCCACAGAAUCUUCCAUUAAAAUGUUCUUUCUUUUUCUUUCUUUCUUUCUUUCUUUCUUUCUUU